GAGAAAUAAAAAGGGCGUCUUCAGUCCACACUCUACUCCUCCUUCUCACUUGAAGAGGCUGUUUCUUUCUUCCACUACAAAGAGUGGAAGAGAUACUUUGUUUUACGAAAAAUGCUCAGAGUAGCAUGUCUUCUUCGGAAUGGCUGCAGCUGGUUGUGGCAGAGUUUGAGAAAUUAAGAUGUAACCUCUUGGGCUGCUAAAACCAGCACCAGGAUACUGCGUCCGUGUCGGCCUCCUCCCUAUCUCCCACCCACAGAUAGAGGAGGCGACGCAGUGAGAUAUCGAAGACCUGAGUGGGCCAGCCAGGGGACUCAAGGCAUACCAGCACAAGAGUGGUGCUGAGAGGGCACCUCUCAUAUUUAUUGAUCAGGCAUCACAUUCUUGAGUGGGUUAACAAGUUUCUAGACACAAUGAUUAACAUGCUUUACUACAGGAAUGCAAUUGCCUCCAGGUCGCUGGGGUAAGUUGUCCCUGGCGCCAGGCAAUGAGGAGGUAGAGAUAACAGGAAACAGAUCUCGGUUUAGAUUUAGUGAGCUGCGGCCUGCACGACAGAUAACAAGGAAGGCAAUCAACUCCCAUAAACAGAAUGAUCUAUGGAUGGCAACCUACGGGUCCGCCCUGUGCAAUGGGUGGGCCCUGUUCCCUGGCAGAAGGGCACUGGGGCAACAGAGAGACCAAGAUGCUCCUGGCCAAUCUUGGUACUUCUGUUUUAUGAAAACCUCCACACUCGUCAACAGAAAGGGCAGAUCUACAGGGCGCUGGGGAACAACGCCGGGAGCAGGGCUUCCUGUGGACCCCAAGAGUAGUGUCACUCCAAGUUCAGAAGCCUGCAGUUGAGUCACGAGCUGGCCAAACCCAGGAUGGCCUUUGGUUUCUCUGCUCCAGAUGCUGGACCAAGAGUCAAGAACAUGCACUAUAGGAGACUGAGUGACAAGAUGAAGCACGGCUGGCCUCUUCCUCUUUUGUCACGGUGUCAGAACUUCCGAAGAGACAGAAGACGAAGAUGGGUGGACUUUGGGGCCCAUGUACCCGUGCCCAGAGUUUCGAGCUCAGAUGUGUUACAGGGGGCUCACAGCACUUCACUGUCAUCAGCUUCAGGUGGCUGAUCCCGGGAAGAACUCCGGCUGGGUCUGUCUUUUCUAUGGCUGCUAAACAGCAGCGCCUUCCUCAUCCCAUUGUCCUCCCUUCUCUCCACUACAGUGAACUUCUCUUCUUUGAGGCUUUGAGGUCAAGAAUGGGAUUAAGAGAGAAUCCAAAAUUGGGUGCUCACAGGAAGUAGAAACAGGCACCUCCUGCUGGACAGCAGCACUACCCUCAAGCCACAUCUCUGCUGUGUUCCCGUCAACAACUACAAGGGGACGAAGGAGAGGAUGGAUUGAGCUACUGGGAAAUACUGAAUCUAAGCGACUAACCCUUGAGCAACUGUAAUAUCUACAUUAAUCUCCCUGCACCCUACCAUCCCCAGUCCCGGUGUCGGGUUUCUCAUAGUAAAGGUUUCUACAAGUGUAAAAGCACUGCUCUUUCUCAUGAUAAUAAAGCUGCUUCUGUCC